rnacentral:tRNA from 1 species
UCCCUGGUGGUCUAGUAGCUAAGACACUGUGCUCCCAAUUCAGGGGGGCCCAGGUUCAAUCCCUGGUUAGGGAG